rnacentral:rRNA from 1 species
GACGAACGCUGGCGGCGUGCUUAAUACAUGCAAGUCGAACGGAAAGGCCCUGCUUUUGUGGGGUGCUCGAGUGGCGAACGGGUGAGUAACACGUGAGUAACCUGCCCUUGACUUUGGGAUAACUUCAGGAAACUGGGGCUAAUACCGGAUAGGAGCUUCUGCUGCAUGGUGGGGGUUGGAAAGUUUCGGCGGUUGGGGAUGGACUCGCGGCUUAUCAGCUUGUUGGUGGGGUAGUGGCUUACCAAGGCUUUGACGGGUAGCCGGCCUGAGAGGGUGACCGGCCACAUUGGGACUGAGAUACGGCCCAGACUCCUACGGGAGGCAGAAGUGGAGAAUAUUGCGCAGUGGGCGGAAGCCUGAUGCAGCGGCGCCGCGUGCGGGAUGACGGCCUUCGGGUUGUAAACCGCUUUCGCCUGUGACGAAGCGUGAGUGACGGUAAUGGGUAAAGAAGCACCGGCUAACUACGUG